CUACGGGAGGCAGCAGUGGGGAAUAUUGCGCAAUGGGGGAAACCCUGAUGCAGCCAUGCCGCGUGUGUGAAGAAGGCCUUUGGGUUGUAAAGCACUUUCAGCGGGGAGGAAGGCAGGUGGUGUUAAUAACACUAUUUGAUUGACGUUACCCGCAGAAGAAGCACCGGCUAACUCCGUGCCAGCAGCCGCGGUAAUACGGAGGGUGCGAGCGUUAAUCGGAAUUACUGGGCGUAAAGCGUACGUAGGUGGUUUGUUAAGUUAAGUGUGAAAUCCCUGGGCUUAACCUAGGAACUGCAUUUAAAACUGGCAAGCUAGAGUCUCGUAGAGGGGGGAUAGAAUUCCAGGUGUAGCGGUGAAAUGCGUAGAGAUCUGGAGGAAUACCAGUGGCGAAGGCGACCCCCUGGACGAAAACUGACGCUCAGGUACGAAAGCGUGGGGAGCAAACAGGAUUAGAUACCCGAGUAGUC
rnacentral:rRNA from 1 species